rnacentral:misc_RNA from 1 species
GGUUCUUGUAGAUUGUAGUGGUGAAGAUGAGCAGAACAAGACACCGGAUACUGCUUUCUUGAAUAAGAAAGAUGCCCUCUUGCAGAUUGCUGAAGGAACUCCAGUCUCCAAAACUAUUGUUUUCUGUAACAAGAUUGAGACAUGUAGAAGAGUUGAAAAUGCAUUGCAGCGUUUUGAUAAAAAAGGUGACCACUUGCAAGUUUU